GAGACACGGAGCUGAAUUCUCCGGCAAGUAGCUGCGAUCGGCUUCAGAGAGCGGCGCUCAGAGCCGGUGUGUGGGAGCGUCGCUGGGAGAAAGGAGCGGACAGAAUUCACAAAUCUCGGAUAGAGGUACUCAUGGAGUUCCUGACUCAAUAGACUUGCCAACUGCUGGCUGGGACGAUGGUUGGUCAGCCGGAAAGACACAGUCAGGGAGGUCGGAGUCUUCAAUCAAUCCUGCUGCCAGGUACAAUGGUGAUCCUGUAAGAGACCAGUGCGGAAUGGGAUGUUAUAAAUCUCAGCUGAGGCUUGCGGCCUACCAUUACCUGGGAGUCACUAAGGGAGAGAAUCUGAGAGAGAGCAGCACAAAGCGGGAGAAUAUAAAUCAGCAGCGAGGGUCAAGGCCGACUGGGACUUGGAUCUGGAGAAACAGCAGAGCAGGAGGCUGGAAAUCAGCACCGAGUCACAGAGGGAGUGACCGUGGGAGGGAGCAACUUGGAGCAGGAGCUUGAGGCUGACUCACACCUGGGAGAAUAUAAAUCAGCACUGAGGAUCGAGGCCUCGCUGUACCUGGGAGUGACAGAGACGGU